CAUUGCAGUCACGGACGCCUAAAUGUGUUGGGAUCUGCUCCCUCACCUUUCCCUCUUUGCAUUUUUCUUCUUUUAAGUGAUCGAUGGGUAAUUCCUCUUAUAGCCAAACCUGGACCACUCACCCUGCGUCCAGCCCUGUCGCGCGCAGUACUAGGCUGGCAGGACGGCAGGUUUGGCAGUGAUGGGCCCGUGAUUGCAGCCGGAGGUAAGGUUCUGUAGAACUGUCGGCCCAUCGCCCAUGUACAUGAUCGGUGCGUAACUUUAUCCACCCCGUCUCUCUCUUGCUCGUUUAUCCACCCCAUCAUUCUCUCUCGCUUGUUCUCCAUCCCGUCCAGAUCCCGCCGCCCCCAACCCUCCCACCCUUCCCCUCCACAGCAAGCCACCUCUACCAUCCCGGCUCCCUCCCUCUUCUGCCGCACAAAUAUCGGCGAGAUCCAGGGAGACGGGGACGUCGAUAUCGGCAUCAACCUCGCCAAGCUUGAUCCGGGGAUACCGGGGCCCCGGGCUGCCGUAGUGUUGGAUGUUGUGGCCGUCUCUUCCCACUGGCGGGAGACGCGGGGCCUGUCGCGGGCUUACCCGGGAGGGUCGACAGUGUGCACGACCUGUACUGCUUCCUGCUGGCCUCUCACGGCCUCCUCCUGGUCCACAGCUACUCCGCGACUCCAACUUGGAGGCAUUGAGAAAAGGCCUGUCUUUUUGUGCUCGAACUUCUUGCUUCUUCCCUUUGAUUGUUGGUGGACGUGUGAUUUUGUUGUUGUUCGGGCUGGAUAGGUCAAGCUGCAAAAGUAGUUGUAGCCAGAUUACUACUAAUUUUUAUAGAUUACUUACCAGGACGUUGAACGAAUUCAAUUCUUUCUAGUUUGUGUGCUAUUGUAUAUUUUAACUUUUGUGUUCCUAACUACGGCCCUCUGAAUGUAAUGUUGUUGUUCUGAAUUUUACCCUGGCCUGCCCCUAAUCAGUGUUUUUUUGGUUUGGUUUCCUGUGUAAUGCAUUUUGGAUACGGUGAUGCAGGUGACUAGCCGUAGAUGUGGCCUGGUGUCCCAAGCUUCUGCAUGGAGCUCGCCAUGCUUCACCAAGAAUCAUGACGAUGCUGCCUUGUGCUCGCCAUGCGCAGAACUAGGGUCGUGAGGAGGAAGACAAGGCUACACACGAGGAAAUUCGAGACGGAGGCGGCACCAAACAUAACUUGAGCCUGAUUUUUCUUGCUAGCUUAGCGUUUUGCUUUCAUAGGUUUGGAGCUCUAAAUUUAAGCUUUUGCUCUGAAUCUUCAAUUGAUCCACAGGUUUCUGAUCGUUCUGAACAAAUGCUUGAACUCUUUGUUGUUUGAUGUGAUUUUGGGAGUUCAUUAGACUUUGGAAAGUUGUUUGCUUUCCCUUAAUCGUUUUCUUAAUCUCCUCCCUUCUUUAGUGGAUCUCCAUGCAAGUGUUAGUGGGUAAUGCAUGGUUAAAUUAUAUUUUGGUGUUGGUUGUUGAGAGCAUGAGAUGAGACAAACAAUGAAAUGGAUUGUGGAUGAUCACAGGAAUGGUGAUUAUUUA